GUGGGGAAUUUUGGACAAUGGGCGCAAGCCUGAUCCAGCAAUGCCGCGUGCAGGAAGAAGGCCUUCGGGUUGUAAACUGCUUUUGUACGGAACGAAACGGUCCGGGUUAAUACCCUGGGCUAAUGACGGUACCGUAAGAAUAAACACCGGCUAACUACGUGCCAGCAGCCGCGGUAAUACGUAGGGUGCAAGCGUUAAUCGGAAUUACUGGGCGUAAAGCGUGCGCAGGCGGUUUUGUAAGACAGGCGUGAAAUCCCCGGGCUCAACCUGGGAAUUGCGCUUGUGACUGCAAGGCUGGAGUGCGGCAGAGGGGGAUGGAAUUCCGCGUGUAGCAGUGAAAUGCGUAGAUAUGCGGAGGAACACCGAUGGCGAAGGCAAUCCCCUGGGCCUGCACUGACGCUCAUGCACGAAAGCGUGGGGAGCAAACAGGAUUAGAUACCCCAGUAGUCC
rnacentral:rRNA from 1 species